GACGAACGCUGGCGGCGUGCUUAACACAUGCAAGUCGAACGGAAAGGCCCUGCUUUUGUGGGGUGCUCGAGUGGCGAACGGGUGAGUAACACGUGAGUAACCUGCCCUUGACUUUGGGAUAACUUCAGGAAACUGGGGCUAAUACCGGAUAGGAGCUCCUGCUGCAUGGUGGGGGUUGGAAAGUUUCGGCGGUUGGGGAUGGACUCGCGGCUUAUCAGCUUGUUGGUGGGGUAGUGGCUUACCAAGGCUUUGACGGGUAGCCGGCCUGAGAGGGUGACCGGCCACAUUGGGACUGAGAUACGGACCAGAAUCCUACGGGAGGCAGAAGUGGGGAAUAUUGCAGAAUGGGCGGAAGCCUGAUGCAGAAACGCCGCGUGCGGGAUGACGGCCUUCGGGUUGUAAACCGAUUUCGAAUGUGACGAAGAGUGAGUGACGGUAAUGGGUAAAGAAGCAACGGCUAACUACGUG
rnacentral:rRNA from 1 species